rnacentral:rRNA from 1 species
UACGAAGGGGGCUAGCGUUGUUCGGAAUUACUGGGCGUAAAGCGCACGUAGGCGGCUCUGUAAGUUGGGGGUGAAAUCCCGCGGCUCAACCUCGGAAUUGCCUUCAAGACUGCAGGUCUUGAGUUCGGGAGAGGUGGGUGGAAUUCCCAGUGUAGAGGUGAAAUUCGUAGAGAUUGGGAAGAAUACCAGUGGCGAAGGCGGGUCACUGGCCCGUGACUGACGCUGAGGCACGAAAGCGUGGGGAGUAAACAGG